UUGCUAGCUAUAUUUGCUAGCUGAAAAUAAUUGUUAUUCAUGUCUCUGUUAUUCAUGUUUCUUCUACACAGUAUCUAACAAAGAUACAUUGACAGGGGAGAUCACCGUGAGGGCUGCCUGUCACAGGUCCAUGAGGAAGAGUGAAAAGCCACACAGCAUGAGAGUAGGGAAAGGUUAUAGAUAGCUACUAGGGACCUUGUUAAGGUACUAGGGACCUUGUUAAACAUCUCCUGUGAGACACUGUCAUCAUGGUCAAAAUGUGUUGGAGACAGUGUCAACGUUUAAUCUUAUCAGUAGAUAGAUAUUGUAAUGAUACUCGUCUGGUGAAGGAGAAGAGGACCAAAAUGCAGCGUGAUGGUGUUAAAGCACUCCGUACCAGUGAUAGUGGUCCAAAGCCACUGCUCCUGUGUUGCAGGAAGUGCUCUGUGCAAUCAUCUGGUGGCCCUUCUUUACCAGACAGCACACUACUCUCAACUAAACAUUCCUGCUGCACCACCAGUUCACAGCUGCACAGACUCGUUGGCACAAGACAGCGUUGGCACAAGCCAAGAACACUUGGUGUGAAGCCAGGUCCGGUUGAUGGAAUAGAGUUCCAUAAACCUACUAACUCGUGUGCUGAUGGAAUAAGAAGUUCUCUCUACAAAGCACUCAAUGGAUACAUGUCUGACAUGGACCUUCUCUCCGUAUCAUAAACGUAUGCCAACCUUUCUCCACUUACUGCCCCUCUUGUGACAACAAUGGAAAUGUCAGCUGACGUGCCCCUGGUUGAGUCCACCUUUGGGUCAGUGCAAGCCGGCAGUGUUCUGUCCUAUCAGCUUCCACAGCCAAAGACCCGUGAAAUUGUGAAGAUUGCCAAUGCCACUUCUCCACCAAUACUUCCAUUAGAUGGCUACAGGCUUCAGGCUUCCUAGUGUGCUUACGUCCUUAGCCAUCAGGAGCAGUUCCACCUCAAGGCAUUAGAAACAACCUACGAGAUGUCACACAAAGUCGAGGUUGCUACAAGGGAGCAGAGCAGCAGCCCGGAAUGGCAAGGGAUCUGGUAUGCAGACCAUGGAGAUGAAGAGGGGGCUAGCCAUGGAGCCAGUGGCUGUACAGGAGUACUGCACACUGAAGAAUGUUAACUUCUACAGUAGAAUAGAUUUGUUUAAAAAAAUGUAUUUCAGCAAAUGUUCAACAGUUCAGUUAAUCAAUUACACAUCUCUAACAUUGUAUUCUAUCUUGCAUUCUGGCUAUUCUGUGCUUACUUGAUUUCUUUCCCCCACCCCUGUUACUCAUUGCCUAAUUAAAGCCAAUA